UUCGGGUUGUAAAGCACUUUCAGUAGGGAGGAAGGUAGUGUAGUUUAACACCUGCAUUAUUUGACGUUACCUACAGAAGAAGCACCGGCUAACUCCGUGCCAGCAGCCGCGGUAAUACGGAGGGUGCGAGCGUUAAUCGGAAUUACUGGGCGUAAAGCGCAUGCAGGCGGCCUGUUAAGUCAGAUGUGAAAGCCCGGGGCUUAACCUCGGAAUUGCAUUUUGAAACUGGCAGGCUAGAGUCUUGUAGAGGGGGUAGAAUUUCAGGUGUAGCGGUGAAAUGCGUAGAGAUCUGAAGGAAUACCAGUGGCGAAGGCGGCCCCCUGGACAAAGACUGACGCUCAGAUGCGAAAGCGUGGGGAGCAAACAGGAUUAGAUACCCUGGUAG
rnacentral:rRNA from 1 species